AGAGUGAACGCUGGCGGUAGGCCUAACACAUGCAAGUCGAACGGCAGCACAGGAGAGCUUGCUCUCUGGGUGGCGAGUGGCGGACGGGUGAGGAAUACAUCGGAAUCUACCUUUUCGUGGGGGAUAACGUAGGGAAACUUACGCUAAUACCGCAUAAGACCUUCGGGUGAAAGCCGGGGACCUUCGGGCCUGGCGCGGAUAGAUGAGCCGAUGUCGGAUUAGCUUGUUGGCGGGGUAAAAGCCCACCAAGGCGACGAUCCGUAGCUGGUCUGAGAGGAUGAUCAGCCACACUGGAACUGAGACACGGUCCAGACUCCUACGGGAGCAGCAGUGGGAAUA
rnacentral:rRNA from 1 species